GAUGAACGCUGGCGGCGUGCCUAAUACAUGCAAGUCGAGCGAACAGACGAGGAUCUUGCUCCUCUGACGUUAGCGGCGGACGGGUGAGUAACACGUGGAUAACCUACCUAUAAGACUGGGAUAACUUCGGGAAACCGGAGCUAAUACCGGAUAAUAUAUUGAACCGCAUGGUUCAAUAGUGAAAGACGGUUUUGCUGUCACUUAUAGAUGGAUCCGCGCCGCAUUAGCUAGUUGGUAAGGUAACGGCUUACCAAGGCAACGAUGCGUAGCCGACCUGAGAGGGUGAUCGGCCACACGGGAACGGAGACACGGUCCAGACUCCUACGGGAGGCAGCAGUAGGGAAUCUUCCGCAAUGGGCGAAAGCCUGACGGAGCAACGCCGCGUGAGUGAUGAAGGUCUUCGGAUCGUAAAACUCUGUUAUUAGGGAAGAACAAAUGUGUAAGUAACUAUGCACGUAUUGACGGUACCUAAUCAGAAAGCCACGGCUAACUACGUG
rnacentral:rRNA from 1 species